AGAGUUUGAUCCUGGCUCAGAAUGAACGCUGGCGGCGUGCUUAACACAUGCAAGUCGAACGAUGAAGCCUAGCUUGCUAGGUGGAUUAGUGGCGCACGGGUGAGUAAUAUAUAGGUAACGUGCCUCUUAGUCUGGGAUAGCCAUUGGAAACGAUGAUUAAUACUAGAUACUCCUUCUAACUCUAAUGUUAGUUGGGAAAGUUUUUCGCUAAGAGAUCGGCCUAUUUCCCAUCAGGUAGUUGGUAGUGUAAGAGACUACCAAGCCUAUGACGGGUAGCGGGUUUGAGAGGAUGAUCCGCCACACUGGUACUGAGACACGGACCAGUCUCCUACGGGAGGCAGCAGUGAGGAAUAUUGCACAAUGGAGGAAACUCUGAUGCAGCAACGCCGCGUGGAGGAUGACGCAUUUCGGUGUGUAAACUCCUUUUAUAUGUCAAGAAAAUGACGGUAGCAUAUGAAUAAGCACCGGCUAACUCCGUGACAGCAGCCGCGGGAAUACGGAGGGUGCAAGCGUUAUUCGGAAUCACUGGGCGUAAAGGACGCGUAGGCGGGAAGCCAAGUCUGAUGUGAAAUCCUAUGGCUCAACCAUAGAACUGCAUUGGAAACUGGCAACCUAGAGUAUGGGAGGGGGAGAUGGAAUUAGUGGUGUAGGGGUAAAAUCCGUAGAUAUCACUAGGAAUACCGAAAGCGAAGGCGAUCUCCUGGAACAUUACUGACGCUAAGGCGUGAAAGCGUGGGGAGCAAACGGGAUUAGAUACCCCGGUAGUCCACGCCCUAAACGAUGAACACUAGUCGUCGGGAUGCUAGUCAUCUCGGUGAUGCACUUAACAGAUUAAGUGUUCCGCCUGGGGAGUACGGUCGCAAGAUUAAAACUCAAAGGAAUAGACGGGGACCCGCACAAGUGGUGGAGCAUGUGGUUUAAUUCGAAAAUACGCGAAGAACCUUACCUAGCCUUGACAUUGAUUGAAUAGACCAGAGAUGGACUAGUGCCCUUCGGGGAACAUGAAAACAGGUGCUGCAUGGCUGUCGUCAGCUCGUGCCGUGAGGGGUUGGGUUAAGUCCCGCAACGAGCGCAACCCCUAUCUUUAUUUGCCAGCGAGUAAUGUCGGUGACUCUAGAGAGACUGCCAGUGUAAUAAACUGGAGGAAGGUGGGGAUGACGUCAAAUCAUCAUGGUCCUUAUGUCCAGGGCUACACACGUGCUACAAUGGCCGGUACAGAGGGUCGCAAUACCGCGAGGUGGAGCUAAUCUCAGAAAGCCGGUCUCAGUUCGGAUUGGAGUCUGCAACUCGACUCCAUGAAGCUGGAAUCGCUAGUAAUCGCGUAUCAGCAUAACGCGGUGAAUACGUUCCCGGGCCUUGUACACACCGCCCGUCAAGUCAGCCGAGUUGAUUGCACCCGAAGGAGGUGAGCUAACCGUAAGGAAGCAGCUUUCGAAGGUGUGAUUAGCAAGGGGGACUAAGUCGUAACAAGGUAGCC
rnacentral:rRNA from 1 species